UUGGAAUCUGUUGCGUCUCAUUUAUUUCUCAAUGAUACCAUUGCCAAUUUUAGAUCCUAAUCCACUAAUAAGAGUUUAGCAUAACGCACAACUAUAGAAUAUCAGAAGCUUUGGCGAAGAAAACCUGGGGAACUUUCCAAAUUCUUCUGAAGGUAGGAGCUGGAGUGGGUUGGGGUGACAUGAACAGACCCUUGUAUCUUACCAACUUCCUGCUUUCCCCUGGAGGAAGCUGCGCUGUCCCCUUGUGAAGAGAGGACCACUUAGCACUUGAAGGAGAAUCUUCCAGACCCUCUGUUACCCACCUAAUGCUGCUGGCGUCCUCAAUACAAACUCACUCUUACUUAGAGUGUUACCUUUUUAUUCCCUUCCUGUUCCACAUCUGUUUCAAAUAAGAUCCGCCCCUCCUUUAUCUUUGGCUGUAGCUUCUAGAAUUCCACCUCCCCGGGGCAAACCCCAGACCUUCUGUUUAUGGGAAGAGAGCUAAAGCAACGUUCACAGAGACCCUGUUUCUUCUUCAGCUCUGUCUCCAUCUCCUCUCUUGAUUUUGCUGACUACGCUCCUGCUGAUGAAACAUGCCCCUCCCACCCCGGCCGCCACCUCACCUAUCUCUGAAUGACCCAAUGAACACUUAGUGAGUGACGUGACCUGAUAGGGACUUAAAUUGUGAUUUAUCUUUUGACACUUGGUGAGACGACACCAUAAAGUACUUCAUGCUCAGCCUUUCGAGUAGAAACUCACAGGGAGGAAUGGAAGGCAUUGCCAGCAGUCCCUAUGUCUUCCUCUACUCUCCAAGAAAUCCUCCAAGGGGACUUCUUGGUUUCAAGGGCAUUCCUGAAGGCCACUGAGCUUUAGAAAGGGGCAGAACAAUGUGGGUAUAGUGAGGGGAAGGGAGGAGAGAGGAAGAAGACAGAUAGGGCUCUGGGUGGAUCACAGGGGAACCAUUUCUGCAUGUGGUACAUGGUCUGGGAUAUGCUGGGGCUCAUGCUCCGGGAAAGGAUUGUCAAGGUGGUGCUGGGCAAAUGCCCCGAAGUACUGAGUGGACAGGUGGCUCCAUCCCAGCAUGAAGCUCAGGAGGACUCACCAGCCAUUCUGUCCCAUUGUGUCAGUGGGAUUCAUGCAGUCCCUAUACUGGAGGAGCUUUGUCUUCCACCUUCUAGUCACAGUAGUGCAAGUCCCUACAUUUCAAUAUUCUACCAAAUAAUGUCCUAGUUGUGCAACGGCAUGUACCCC
rnacentral:lncRNA from 1 species